UGGGGAAUAUUGCGCAAUGGGCGAAAGCCUGACGCAGCGACGCCGCGUGAGUGAAGAAGGCCUUCGGGUUGUAAAGCUCUGUCAGAGGGAACGAAUCCUGCGGAUGACCUCCGUAGCUGACGGUACCCUCGAAGGAAGCACUGGCUAACUCUGUGCCAGCAGCCGCGGUAAUACAGAGAGUGCAAGCGUUGUUCGGAAUUAUUGGGCGUAAAGCGCGUGUAGGCGGUCCAACAAGUCUGGCGUGAAAGCCUGAAGCUUAACUUCAGAAGCGCGCUGGAAACUGUCGGACUUGAGUACUGGAGGGGGAAGGGGAAUUCACGAGUGUAGAGGUGAAAUUCGUAGAUAUUCGGAAGAACAUCCGUGGCGAAGGCGCCUUCCUGGACAGAUACUGACGCUGAGACGCGAAAGCGUGGGGAGCAAACAGG
rnacentral:rRNA from 1 species